UCAACCCUGCGCUGUGCGAUAGGACCUAGGAUGUAUUGAACCACAAAACAAUACACAGGGAGCUGGUCACCUGUCGGCAUCCGCUUCGUCGGAGCCUCACACCGGCGCCCACUUGGGAACUAUGGUUCUCAUUACACCAGGUUCACCGGCAGAGGCGGGGCUUUU
rnacentral:other from 1 species